GGGCUCCAUGACAACCAGGCGGCCGCGGCCCGGCCGGUGCAGCGCGGCCCCGGCGGGGCCUUCCCCGGCAAGAGGAGGUGUUCCUUGGGGGCAGGAGGCGCUGCCUUCCCGGGAGGGUGGAGGGGGUGUCCGGAGUCUCCCCUGGGGCCACAGACACCCCGCCAGCUGUCGCAGUGAGGCCGCUCUGGGGAAACAGCCACUUCCUCGCGCCCCGAGGGCUGCAGAAGGGUCUGACGGGCCAGCGUGUGUGAGGUGGUUCUGUCAGAGUUAAAAGCAGGGCAGUGGAAGAAGGACAGGUGACAGGUUUACAACACUCUUACUUGCUAUAGAGGAGUAUGGUGUCUAUUUCUAAAGUAAACCUUGUAGUUUGUACUAUGCCUAGGGGUUUAUGCUGGGACAGAGUGGAUAGGGUCAGCAACCUUAUGCUGCAGGGGUGGAAAAAUCCUUUCAAAGUACCCACUCGUGUCUUGGAUUAAUGUGGUAAAGAGAAAACCUCCAAAACACUGGUCCCAGAUCUUGGAGGGUUGUUCCCUGUGGGUUGUCUUCCAGCGUCAGAGCUCUCAUUUUCCUUAAACUACUCCAAGAAUGUGGAAAAGCUCUUAGAAACUCAUUGGGAAUUCUGAGCCAAAUAGCACCGUGGUAGGUGCUUCAAAGCUUUCACAGAUGAGGCAGACAAAACAAGUAUUCUGGAGCAGCCUGAAUAUGGCUCAGCAAGAACAUCUUGCAUAUAAGGAUCGACGGGAAGAGAGGCACAGAGAAACUGCAGGAAGAAGAUGAAGGGAUAAAGCUGACAUCAGAGCACUGAAAUGUGUCUGAAAGGUGGGAGGUUUCAUGAUGGAAAUAAUUUGGAAGAAGAUGCAUUUUUGAGUGAUGAUUGAACAGGUUGAAAACUGAGUCUCAGUAUCAAGACGCCUGAGAAGGGAAGUGCUGACACCAAUCAGGACACAACCCAACUGUGGACAAACAGUUCAGCUGUGAAGGGAAUGAAAAAGGGGCAAGACUUUAAGUGUCCCAGGGAUGGAUAAUGGGGAAUAUUAUGGCUUUGAGUAGGGAUUUCUUGGUGGGUCAUAGCUUCUGGGAUUGGUUAUGCAUGGAAGGCAAAAAUAAACAUGUUUCUCAUGGACAUAAAAUAGAUCUUCAGAUUCAUUUCCUUUUACUGCCA